rnacentral:rRNA from 1 species
GACGAACCGUCCUAACGUUGUUCGGAAUCACUGGGCUUAAAGGGCGCGUAGGCGGCCUUGAAAGUCGGGGGUGAAAUCCCACGGCCUAACCGUGGAAGUGCCUCCGAUACUGCAAGGCUCGAGGGAGGUAGGGGCAGCUGGAACUUCCGGUGGAGCGGUGAAAUGCGUUGAUAUCGGAAGGAACGCCGGUGGCGAAAGCGAGCUGCUGGACCUCUGCUGACGCUGAGGCGCGAAAGCCAGGGGAGCAAACGGG